AACGAACGCUGGCGGCAGGCUCAACACAUGCAAGUCGAACGCCCCGCAAGGGGAGUGGCAGACGGGUGAGUAACGCGUGGGAACGUGCCCUUCGCUUCGGAAUAGCCCCGGGAAACUGGGAGUAAUACCGAAUACGCCGUAUUGGGAAAGAUUUAUCGGCGAAGGAUCGGCCCGCGUUAGAUUAGCUAGUUGGCGGUGUAAUGGACCACCAAGGCUACGAUCUAUAGCUGGUCUGAGAGGAUGAUCAGCCACACUGGGACUGAGACACGGCCCAGACUCCUACGGGAGGCAGCAGUGGGGAAUCUUGGACAAUGGGCGCAAGCCUGAUCCAGCCAUGCCGCGUGAGUGAAGAAGGCCUUAGGGUUGUAAAACUCUUUCGCCGGAGAAGAUAAUGACGGUAUCCGGAGAAGAAGCCCCGGCUAACUUCGUGCCAGCCGCCGCGGUAAUAC
rnacentral:rRNA from 1 species